GGGUCAGUAGACAGUACAUUAAAAUUUUGGGAUUUAGAAUCCUUUGAAAUGAUUGGAUCUACUAGACAAGAGGUUCACCCCAUGAUGUACAAGCACACAUAUAGUGGAGGUCAUGGUUCUCUAUGAAUUUUGAUAGCAAAGCUACAAAGGCUUCUCGAUAGUGCAAUAUGAAGACAAGAUCCAUGUGUGUGAAGAAUUUCACUAAGAAAACUAUUAGAAGAAAUCACAAAUAAGUGGCAAAAAAGAAGGUGGAACUCUUGGAGUCCAGGAUCUGGCACAUUUUCUUGCAACAGCCAAAUUUAUGGGAUCUCCAAGCUCCCAUUUAGAUUUGUAGUACUCUAACUUCUUACAAUCCCUGAUUCUACUGCUUUCUUUAUUAAUAACAG